UAAUACAUGCAAGUCGAACGAGAUUAAGGGGCUUGCUCCUUAUGAAAGUGGCGCACGGGUGCGUAACGCGUAUGCAACCUACCUUAAUCAGGGGGAUAGCCCGAAGAAAUUCGGAUUAAGACCGCAUAAAAACACAGGAUAGCAUUAUCCAAUGUUCAAAUAUUUAUAGGAUUAAGAUGGGCAUGCGUGUCAUUAGCUAGUUGGCGGGGUAACGGCCCACCAAGGCGACGAUGACUAGGGGAUCUGAGAGGAUGACCCCCCACACUGGUACUGAGACACGGACCAGACUCCUACGGGAGGCAGCAGUAAGGAAUAUUGGUCAAUGGAGGGAACUCUGAACCAGCCAUGCCGCGUGCAGGAAGACAGCCCUCUGGGUCGUAAACUKCUUUUAUUCGGGAAUAAAC
rnacentral:rRNA from 1 species